GACGUAGGAUGCAAGCGUUGUCCGGAAUCAUUGGGCGUAAAGCGUUCGUAGGCGGUAUACCAAGUCUGAUGUUAAAGCCCGGAGCUCAACUCCGGUUCGGCAUUGGAUACUGGUAAACUAGAGUGCAAUAGAGGUAAGGGGAAUUCCUAGUGUAGCGGUGAAAUGCGUAGAUAUUAGGAGGAACACCGGUGGCGAAAGCGCCUUACUGGGUUGUAACUGACGCUGAGGAACGAAAGCCAGGGUAGCAAAUGGG
rnacentral:rRNA from 1 species